rnacentral:lncRNA from 1 species
CAGUUGUAUUGUAAUAACUGUUUUAAUUUGGUUGCAUUCAUACACAUUCUUUCUGUUCUAGAAAUGCGGUUAUUUGGUUUAAAUAUCUGGAUCCUCCAGUCAAAAUAAUUUCGUACCAGCCAAAAUAUCAGCCUUUCGAACUCUUCAGCCAUAUUGGUGGAUACAUGGGACUGUGGCUAGGAUUCUCUGCCAUUGCAUUAUUUGACUUUGUUACAUCACUUAUCUACAUCUUCUUAGUGGCAGUGAAAAACAUUACGCUAAAAUGCAAAUCCAGACUUCAGAAAAUGUGUCCGGGAAGAUUAAUUCAAAAUUUGAUGUUGAGAUCAUCGAAGAGGCGUAAAAGUGCUCCAAAAACUGAAUGUUAAAACACAGGUGGCACGAUACACGGUAAUGCAAUUUCUUUGCGCAUGCAUUACAAAGUGUUAUAUUUUGUCGCAUUUAAAACCUCAGAUAUCCUCGAGAUUCUACUACUCGUAGCUAUUUCAAAAGCGUCGAUUUCAUGCCUUGAACUCAUCUCUUUUUACACAAAAACAUCGUUCUCGCCUCUUUACCAGCUACAUUAUCUUCGUUGUCAUUUCGUUCAUGAAAUCGCGCUAGCUGUAUUUGAAAAUGCAGAGUUCUGGAAAGUUGGAUACAGAAAACGGAUAUUAUUUGUAAUAUCAACUGAACUUUGACUCAUACGUGCAAUAUUUGAUAAGUUACUUAGAUUGCGAUGUGGAUGCAAUAACAUAUAGAUAUAUACAAAUGUGAGAAUAGAAAUAUGUGAUCUAUGAAAAAAAUAUGAGAUCAAAGUAAACUUACCCCAAAAGAUGAUAAUUCAAAUAUCACAAAAUCAGUUAUUUUUAUUUUUCCUUUACCAUCACUAUAUCUGAAUAUGCACUAAAGAUUAAAUAAGAAGAUAUUAGCCAGACAGACGAACGUAGGUAUCUAAACUAAAUCACACCCGUAACAUGUAACACGUGUAAUGCACAUUACUAAUAUAACGCUGAACUCAAAGUUAAAGUCAAUCUUCUUACAUCUGUACAAAUCAAGGUUCUGGUGGAAUUCGAACCAUCAAAAUUUCAAGGUAGUAAAUAAGGAUACUUGAUAAACGAUGGUAUUUUUUUCUUUUUAUAUCGAGAAAAGAGGAGACACGUGUGCACAAAGAUUUCUUACAAAAAUAAUGUGGCUGGAAAAAAUUAUUAACUGCAGCAAUAUUCUACGAUUUUGGAGAAAUCUUUUCUAACGUUGUACCUUCAAUUCAAAAUCUUACAAAAAAAUUUCCGUAGUAUUAUAAAACAGCAUUCAAGGAAGAAGCAAACAAGGAAAAGCCAUCGCAUCGGCAGGAGAGGAACAGCCAGAAGCCGUGCUACACCUCUGAACCCCAGCAGCAGAAGAGAGCGAGAAACCGGUUGUUGCAUUCGUUUUCGCCUUGUCAUUCUACGGUUGCGAUUAGCACAUCUGAUGCUUGAAUAAUGUGAAAACUUGCCUGCACAAUACCACUGAUUCAUACCAACCUGAUACAAAAACAUUAUAGAUAAAAGCUAUCAUUACAAUGUUUUUUACAUAUUUUAAGCUAUCGCUAUAACGUUUUUACAUAUUUGAAGUUGUUAAUAAAGAGAAUUUGAAUAUAUAUAAAAACUGUACUCUAAAUUAUGCUAAUUACUUACCAAGAACUUAAUGUAAAAUUUAGUGCUUCUUGGUAAGUAAUGAUUGAAAAUUAAUAUAAUUUUAUAUAUAAA